GACGAACGCUGGCGGCGUGCCUAACACAUGCAAGUCGAACGAGAAUCUUUGGAAUGAUUCUUUCGGGAUGAAUUCCAAAGAGGAAAGUGGCGGACGGGCGAGUAACGCGUGAGUAACCUGCCCAUAAGAGGGGGAUAAUCCAUGGAAACGUGGACUAAUACCGCAUAUUGUGUUUGAGUCGCAUGACUUAAACAUGAAAGAUUUAUCGCUUAUGGAUGGACUCGCGUCAGAUUAGAUAGUUGGUGAGGUAACGGCUCACCAAGUCAACGAUCUGUAGCCGAACUGAGAGGUUGAUCGGCCGCAUUGGGACUGAGACACGGCCCAGACUCCUACGGGAGGCAGCAGUGGGGAAUAUUGCGCAAUGGGGGCAACCCUGACGCAGCAACGCCGCGUGCAGGAAGAAGGUCUUCGGAUUGUAAACUGUUGUCGCAAGGGAAGAAGACAGUGACGGUACCUUGUGAGAAAGUCA
rnacentral:rRNA from 1 species